GCGUGGUAGUCGAAGUCCAGUGGUGCAGAAGGGUCUAAUGCUGAUCUUAUCUGAACAACUAUUUAUGGAAACCCUUUUGACAAAGAUCGCUCAAAGAAAAGAAUACGAGUACCACCGAAGUUUUCAACAAGAAUGGACUGCCAUUUUGGAGAUGGAGGGUUCUGCUGUGUGUUUAAAUCCACAGAUGGGGAGUGUUCGUAUUCAACGUUGUCAAUCAACAUUUUGCCAAGUUCGCAUCAAGACAAGAUAACCAAACGAAUAAAGGACACGCCUUUGUUGGCAAGAACUGUUCACCAUCCUUACCAGCAUGAUAGAAAAUCAAUUUGAAUUACGCUCAUGAUUAACAGAUGGAAAAAUCAACGCCUGCGUGAAGAUUAAUCUGACAGUGUAUGAAACAGACUGUCAAGCCAUUAGCAAAACCAGGAAGCACCUGAAGUCGCAUUAAUGUCAAAAAGGUUCCCGACCCCUGCUUUAGACUUUCAUGCCUCGGCUGUAGUGCCGGUGACAAGGGUCACAGUCUGGUGCCAAAGGCCAAAGAUUCAGUGCUGCUGAGCAACAUCUUAUCACCUGAGGGUCGCAGGUAUGCUGGAGCCUGUCCCAGCUAACUCCAGACGAGAGCUGGGGUACACGCUGAACUGGCCGCCAGCCAAUUGCAGGGCACAUGGAAAAGACCUACAGGGAGUUUAGAGUCUUCAAUUAACCGACCAUGCAUGUCUUUACAAUGUGAGAGGGGGGAAACCUAUUAAAACACAUGGGCACGGGAAGAACAUGCAAACCUUACACCUAAACCUCAACUUUUGAAUCUGGGUUCUCAGCGUUGUGAGGACGAUGUGCAAACCAGUCCACCACCAUGCCGCCCGGCAUCAAUGAUGACAUUUCAUUUUCACAUUUGAGAACAACAUAAGCCCAUUUGAUGGUUUUGAAACACCAAAGGUUUCAGAAAAUUACUAUGGAAAUGUGAUCUGAAGAACAAGACCAAGAUUCAAGAUACAAAUUUGUGGAUGUGAGCUCUGGCUUUAAAUAAAUUUAAAUAUAUAUUUGUUGAAUGAAUAAAUGAAUAGGGGAUAAGGACAUUUAUCAGUGAUUUUAACAGUCCUCCAGCACCACCGUUAGUAUUUAAAUUUUAUAUUUGAAUUAACCCAUUCAUCCAUUUUCUUAGCUGCUUAUCCUCACAAGGGAGUGCUGGAGCUUAUCCCAGCUGUCAUCAGGCAGAAGGUAGUGCAGCUUCUCACCCAACAGAAAAACUAGAGAGCAUUGAAGGUACUGGAGAAGUCAAAGAACAUUACUUCCACAAUACCUCAAUUACGAUCCAAGUGUAAAGGCCUCCUUUUACUCCUGAAGUGGUGUGGAUCACACGCUGUGAUGACAUACUCACUGUUCCUCCUACUCCCCAUACCUCCGACACCGCCGCCUUCUUUAGCAAUCUUGCAGCAUAAUUAAACAUAUUAUCUUGUCAUUUAGGUCCAUUUGUUCACACACACUGUUCCCUGGUUGCCAAUGUUGUUGCUUAGUUCCUUCUUACAGGAAGGAAACUAAAAAAGGUACCGGAAAUGAUCAAAAAGUGAAUAGGAUACACCACACCACCUUAUGGCGUCCAAGCCAAUAACAGCCGUAGUGAGAAGACUUGGAGAAGAACUGCAGCGCAUAUAUAGCAUGGGUCGUGUUUACAGUAAAGGCAAAUGUGUCACCGCGGUUGCUCCACAUGCAAGUACAGUAUAAAGAGCCCUUAAGUGACCAUGGAACUAGAUCAGCUUAGAUAGGUAAAACCAUCAACCACACCAACAUGGAGCUGGUAGGCAAACUCCAAAGGAUACAGAGCAGGUUUCAACUGUGGGUUUAGGCGUGCCAGAAAAGUUUUGCACCUGACAAAGCAUGUAAUAGUGAAU